GCCUGGGCGGCCGGGCCCCCCAGGGCCACCGUGGCCAUGACAACUGUCAUGGUUGUCACCCGCUGGUGGCGGCCCUGCUCCCCCAUUUACCUCACACCACAGUCAACAGUCUGAGAGCUCAUAUACACAUCAUCCGCUCAUGUUGUCAUGCUCAUUUGUCUAUUAAAGAAACUAUGUGAUCCACAAGUCAUGUUAACGGACAAGAAGAAUAUUUUUCAUGGUUCCUACCAUGCCAUAUGGUAAACAUAUGACAGGGAAGCAGUUAAGUAAUAAAU